UACAGGGGGUGCAAACGUUGCUCGGAAUCACUGGGCAUAAAGCGCACGUAGGCCGUUAGCUAAGUCAGGUGUGAAAGCCCCCGGCUCAACCGAGGAACAGCACCUGAUACUGACUAACUCGAGAAUGGUAGGGGUGAGUGGAACUCCAGGUGGAGCGGUGAAAUGCGUAGAUAUCUGGAGGAACACCGGUGGCGAAAGCGGCUCACUGGACCAUUUCUGACGCUGAGGUGCGAAAGCUAGGGGAGCAAACGGG
rnacentral:rRNA from 1 species